rnacentral:lncRNA from 1 species
CUGACCAAUGACUUUAUAUAUCUGAUCCGACCCGCAUCUCUGCUUAACUCGACCCGAGAUAGGUACGGGACGAAUAUGGAUAUGAAAUUUUUACUUGUGGGAUGGGUAUGGAUAUAGACCGUUCCGAUCCAUAUCCGGCCGUUAACAUUCUUAGUUCUACAUACGUGAGUGAAAAAGAAGAAGCCUACACCAAGCCCAAAAAGAUCAAGCAUAAGAAGAAAAAUUACAAAGGCCUGCUCAUUGGGACUUGAGAAUAAGCUUGAUCACAUCCUGAGGAGGAAGACCAGUGAUUAGGAGUAUGCACAGUUUGGUUCAGGUCAGUUUGGGAUCAAGCUUCAACCAAAUUAACUUGAAUUGGUUUUCUAAAAUCAAAAUCAAAAUCGAACUGAUCGCAUAGAAAAAUCAAUUCAAACUAAUCCAAAAUAAUCGAUUCAAUUUGAUUCGAUUUAUCGGAUUAUGAACUGUUGAGCUUCUACCAAAUGUGUGGUUUAUGGA